rnacentral:rRNA from 1 species
AACGAACGCUGGCGGCAGGCUUAACACACGCAAGUCGAACGCCCCGCAAGGGGAGUGGCAGACGGGUGAGUAACGCGUGGGAACAUACCCUUUCCUGCGGAAUAGCUCUGGGAAACUGGAAUUAAUACCGCAUACGCCCUACGGGGGAAAGAUUUAUCGGGGAAGGAUUGGCCCGCGUUGGAUUAGCUAGUUGGUGGGGUAAAGGCCUACCAAGGCGACGAUCCAUAGCUGGUCUGAGAGGAUGAUCAGCCACAUUGGGACUGAGACACGGCCCAAACUCCUACGGGAGGCGGCAGUGGGGAAUAUUGGACAAUGGGCGCAAGCCUGAUCCAGCCAUGCCGCGUGAGUGAUGAAGGCCUUAGGGUUGUAAAGCUCUUUCACCGAUGAAGAUAAUGACGGUAGUCGGAGAAGAAGCCCCGGCUAACUUCGUGCCAGCCGCCGCAGUAACAC